AAGAAACAUGUAAGUUGAACCAUAUUUGUUAACUGAAGGCAUAAGACCUAGCAUGCUUUCUUUUCUUUGUUGACGCUUGCAGAACAAGGAUUUAAAAAUAAGGAUAGAAAGUAUCCCCAGAAUCAUGGACAUGCAUGUAGAAUACAAACACAGGAAGGGGAUGAGAUGAAAAGCAAAGAUGUACAUAAUGGUUUCUCUCAAUGACUCUGGUUUUGGUGAUCAGUUACAUGGUUACUCAAUAGGCUGUUUUCCCCUGGAGCUAUUCUUGUCCUGUGUCAGGACCAAUUUCCAAGCCCAAUUCUACCACAUAAGCAGCCAGCACAUAUUUUCCAGUCACCACUGUGAUUCGAAGCCAGUUAGGAGCUCUCAGUUUGUACAAAGUUCACCUUCCUUUUUAAAACAAUAAAGUGUUGGAGCAUCAUCUGUAGUUCUCAAAUACUUUGAAAUUUCCGGAGUGGUGGGAUUGCAGUUGUCUAAAUACCUACACAUCUAGAACUUUUCCCCUGAAGGCCUCCUGUUUCCCAAGCUCUGUGAAGCAUUUUUUCACCAUGCCAGUGUAGUACUAUACCCUGGCCUGCCUUCAGCUUAUAGCAUUUCUUCUUUUUAAUAGAAGUUUCUUUCCUACCAUGUCAGCAUUUAGCUGUACCACUUCCAGGAGUUUUUAUUCUAUUUCUCAUUUCCCUCAUUUUACAGAUUGGAUUUGCAACUUUUCCUAAAACAUAAAGAAUGUUAUCCAGCAAAUCACAGUCCCUGUUUCCAUGAUGUAUAAUCUGUGGUUAUAAAGCUCUUAGAUAUUGCUUACCCAGUCUGUAUUACUGGCUACAAGCAAUAACUUUUGCUUAUAUCUGAACUGAACAUGUCUUUUUCAGAGUGUCUCUACCAAAUCAUUAACACCUGGGCCACUCAAACUGGCUCUUAAUUAGGUUUUCACCUUGUCUGUAUCACUAUGCAAUUAGCCUACGAACUUGGAUUUCCACAGGGCAUUUCCCACUUGCAAAUUCUUGUGUCACUCCACCAGAAACAACACAUCUCUUACCCGUAGGGUAACGCUAGAUGAAAAGAGGGAGCUGUAGACAUAUUCCCUUACUCAAGAUCUUGAUCUAAUCUAAUUUUACAACUAACAGCUGCAGUGAUUAUAAUCCAUCGAUUCCCCUGCACGGUGACUUGUUUCAUGUUCCUUCCUUCCUUCCUUCUGGUCCCCUCUUUCUUCCAGCCGAAGAUUUGCCAAAGCUUUCUCCCAGUUCCAUGAUACACUCAGAGUUUGCUUUAAUACAGCAUACAAAACUCCAGUUUCUCAGUUCAGGCCUUGUUUUCUCUCUUCUCAGCGCCUCCAGCUCUCUCAAAACAGCUCAUUUCAUUUCUGCCAGCUGUGACCUCCCCAAAUGCCUCACUAAUUUGCACUGUAC
rnacentral:lncRNA from 1 species